rnacentral:rRNA from 1 species
GUGGGGAAUAUUGGACAAUGGGCGCAAGCCUGAUCCAGCCAUGCCGCGUGAGUGAUGAAGGCCUUAGGGUUGUAAAGCUCUUUCGCCGGGGACGAUGAUGACGGUACCCGGAGAAGAAGCCCCGGCUAACUUCGUGCCAGCAGCCGCGGUAAUACGAAGGGGGCUAGCGUUGUUCGGAAUUACUGGGCGUAAAGGGUGCGUAGGCGGUCAGCAAAGUCAGGGGGGAAAGCCCGGGGCUCAACCUCGGAACUGCCCUUGAGACUGGUUGACUUGAGUAUGGAAGAGGGUCGUGGAAUUCCCAGUGUAGAGGUGAAAUUCGUAGAUAUUGGUAAGAACACCAGUGGCGAAGGCGGCGACCUGGUCCAUUACUGACGCUGAGGUGCGACAGCGUGGGGAGCAAACAGGAUUAGAUACCCCUGUAGUCC